UGGAUUGUCUUUGUAUUGGUCCCUCAUUUAUUUAACUUUUUCUGUUUUGGUACUUUUUUCUGUCCAUAUUAUCUCAUAAAGAUCUGGGUUAUAGAAUGUAGAUUCUGUCGGAUAUGUUUGUGGGAGUUUUGACUGAUGGAUUUUUAGUUGUCUGGAAAUGAUUAGAUGUUAUGAGGAAAAACUAUGGCAAGUGGUUGGGAAGGAAGACUAAUAAGAAUGGAUAUCAAUACUGGGUGUCUUUUAUGGUCGGGGCAGUGGAUUAAUCAUGAAAUUUUGUUAGAUACCGAUUUUGGCCACACCGAUAUAGAUGCAAUGUGAAACGUCUAGUUGAAUUAUCUCAAGAAUUGUGAUGUAAUGGUGAUGAGAAAAAACACGGGUUGUUUAUUUGAGGUCACUGCCAAGCUAAAUGUUGAAUUAACAUAUGACACAAUCCUUGUUGAUUUAUUCAAGGGAAAUUGUUUCCAACUGAUACAAUAUAUUGACCAAAUUUUGUACCCUUGGGUUUUGUCUCUCAUUAUCAAUACCAAAGUAAACUGUAGUGAUCCAGGUUCAGAUUCCCUUCCUUCAAUGAGGUUCUGAAGAGAGACAAUUGUUUAAGUGAUGCGCAGACAGGCAGUGCCAAGGUCUGAAUCGCUGCUCACAAGAGCAGUGAACAAGGUCUUCGGAUUUGUUCGCUUUGCAGAAUUUGAAAUACUUUUUGUGCUCUUCCUGCUGAUUGCGUUCCUUAUUUUCAAAGACCUCACCUCUAGGCCUGAGUACAAUAGAAUUCUUCUGAAGGAUGGAUGGAACUAGUCUUUUUCUAUUCUAAGAGAUGAUUCUAGAGGUUUUUGGUCAGAUCUUCUAUCUAUUAUUUACAAUAUCAGGAGCAAAACUAAUUAAGUUAUGAGGCACAAGGGUUAUGCCUACCUAUGUUGUGAUUUUGUGGGCGGUUUGUAAUUUAAUAGAAUCCAAAUGUUUCGGAGUAAUGUUAUGGUUAAAACAAGCUUAAGAAAUUCUUAUUAAUCAAGAUUGUAUUAAAUUUAGAUUUUUCAUGCUAUCUAGUAGAGCUGGUACGUGGGAUGGGGAGGUGUAGUAUUGAGUGAAUUGUGAUCUGAUGUAUUCUUGUUAUUAAGAUAAGAAAUAAGCAGUAAUAUUAUCAAUCAA